GACGAAGGGGGCUAGCGUUGUUCGGAAUUACUGGGCGUAAAGCGCGUGUAGGCGGUCGUUCAAGUCGGGUGUGAAAGCCUUGAGCUCAACUCAAGAAAUGCACUCGGUACUGGAUGACUAGAGGACCGGAGAGGAUAGUGGAAUUCCCAGUGUAGCGGUGAAAUACGUAGAGAUUGGGAAGAACACCAGUGGCGAAGGCGGCUAUCUGGACGGUUUCUGACGCUAAGACGCGAAAGCGUGGGGAGCAAACAGG
rnacentral:rRNA from 1 species